rnacentral:RNase_P_RNA from 1 species
AGCAGACUGGGCAGCUGCGGCGCACACGCCGAAAGGCCGUGCGCUGAGGAAAGUCCGGGCUCCGCAGGGCGAGGAUAGCGGAUAACGUCCGCCGAAGGCGACUUUAGGGAAAGUGCAACAGAAAGCAAACCGCCCGGCUUUGCCGGGUAAGGAUGAAAGGGCGGGGUAAGAGCCCACCAAUGUUUUGGAGACAAAACAGUUUUGUAAACCCUAUCCGGAGCAACACCGCAUAUGGGACGUACAGGCCGGCCCGGCCGUCCCAGAGGUGGCUAGAGGUGCGCGGCAACGCGCAUCCCAGAUAGAUGGCUGUCGUUUCACAGAACCCGGCUUACAGGUCUGCUCU